CCUACGGGUGGCAGCAGUAGGGAAUCUUCCACAAUGGGCGAAAGCCUGAUGGAGCAACGCCGCGUGGGUGAAGAAGGUCUUCGGAUCGUAAAACCCUGUUGUUAGAGAAGAAAGUGCGUGAGAGUAACUGUUCACGUUUCGACGGUAUCUAACCAGAAAGCCACGGCUAACUACGUGCCAGCCGCCGCGGUAAUACGUAGGUGGCAAGCGUUAUCCGGAUUUAUUGGGCGUAAAGGGAACGCAGGCGGUCUUUUAAGUCUGAUGUGAAAGCCUUCGGCUUAACCGGGGUAGUGCAUUGGAAACUGGGAGACUUGAGUGCAGAAGAGGAGGGUGGAACUCCAUGUGUAGCGGUGAAAUGCGUAGAGAUAUGAAAGAACACCGGUGGCGAAGGCGGCUCUCUGAUCUGUAACUGACGCUGAGGUUCGAAAGCGUGGGUAGCAAACAGGAUUAGAUACCCUUGUAGUC
rnacentral:rRNA from 1 species